CAAGAACAGGCAUCUUCCAUCUUUGGUGUGUGUUUGUGCAGGGGUGAAAUCCACUUACUUUUGCUACAUCAAAAAGAUUACUCUUUAUUCGUGCAAUGCUAUGAUAAGGAGACUCAUCAAAUCAUCGAAUUAGAAGGCAUGGCUGCACCAUCCUCAAUAAAUGAUUAUUCAGCCUUCAUUUGAAAACCUCCAGGGAAGAGAAAACUACUCCAUUCACACUGAGUGGAAGCUCUUACUGUCCAGAGGUUUUCCUGAUGUCUUAAAUCUAAUCUCUAUCUACAUCCUUGAAGUUUCAUCCCAAUAGUUGUAACUGUUACUAUCUGGAGCAAGUGAGGAGAAGUCCAAACCCUCUAAAACAUGACAACCC